UGAACGAUUGUUAGGUUGUUCGGCAAAGUCGCUAGGGUGUUGUUGUUGUUGGUUCGGGUUGUCGGUGUGGGGGGUUGCUAGGGUGUUCUAGAUGGUUGCUAGGAAUUCUGGGCUGUUUCUAUGGUGUUCUGUAUGGUUGGUAUAGUCUUGUAGCUGGUCGCUAUGGUGUUCUGGCUUUGUGCUAGGGUGUUUUGGGUGGUUGCUAGGUGGCUCUAGAUGUUUUUUGUAUGUUUGGUUAGGGAAUAAGCAUGAUGUGGUGGUCUGGGUUGAUGAUAUGGUGAUCUGGCUUGUGAUAUGGUGUUCUAGGUGGUUGCUAGGGGGAUUUAGGCGAUUGCUAGGCUGUUCAAGAUGGUUUCCAUUGUGUUCUAGGUGGUUGCUAGGAGGUUUGGGUGUUUUCUAUGGCGAUCUAUGCGAGUUUCUGUAGGUGUCUGCUAGGAUUUACUGGGUGGCUGCUCGGGUGUUUAUGAUAGUUGCUAUGGUUUUCUCGGUGGGUGCUAGUUAGUUCUUGGUUUAAAAAGUCUAAUCUCCAUAAAACUUUGGAGGAUAGUAAGAUAGUGUAUAAAGUUAUAUAUUUAUUGUUUUGUGCAAAGUAUAGAUGAGUUGAGGGGGGAAGUUUGGAAAUAAUAAGAAUAAUAAUUAAUAGAUAGAGAAUAAGAGUUAAAACUGCUUAAGCUGCACACCUGACUAGUGAUGAGUGAGAAAUGUUGGAUAACGUAUUGAGGAAGUAGAACAGUGAGUAGGGUUUAUGAGAGAAUGGACUGAACAGGAGGAGGGAGAGGGGGAAGAGGCUAAAAAUAAAAUACUCUUUCCCCGGGAUGUUCAAUAUCACACAUGCACACACACACACACACACGCACACAUGCACACACACACACACACACACGCAGACACACACACACACACACGUAUGACGAAGCGAUAAAUGGUGCCACAUCAGAUCGAGAUCUGCAACGGUUGCGCUGAGUGUUUAUAUGUGGCUUACUGACCAUGUGGGACGUUACUCAGCAGCCACCUCAGCGAAUCACUUAGAAAGAAGACCUCGAUGCUAUUCACAAUCCACGUGAUGUUAGCGGUGUGAAUCUGCUGCUUCACUGCGUGUGUACAUGCAAGUGGGGAUUCAUAUUUCUAAAUAAAUCAGGAUUGGAGAGGAUCAUUUACAGGACUUACAGAGCGUGAGAGAGCGAGAGAGAGUAGACCAGUAGCACAACAGUCUUCCAUUAUUAAAUAGUCGUUUCUGCCAACAGUUCAUCUGUGCGCGCAUGCUUGGGGGCGAGGAGGAUCUGUUUUCUCGUUUAUCAGCGAGCUACGAGCGUACGCUUUCAUACGCAGCGCGCACUUUCGGCAACAGAAGUGGUCUGUGCUCAAAGCGAGGAGGCAAAACAGGAAAUGAUCCCCAGCAGGAUGUAUAGGCAACAAGAGACGCAGGAACAGAGACUCAUGGAUGGCGGCUCAUGCGGGGCCCGAGAGCCGCCCUGGCAAGAGUCAGCCGGAGGUCACGAUCCUCGCUCCACACUGCCCUUCAUCUACGGACACGGCUUCCUUCAUGACUCUAAUUGCAGCGUUUAUGCUUGAAAAGUGAUGGGAGAAGGGAUGGCUGUUUUUGGAGUUGUUAAAUAGAGCGCAAAGGAUAUAUUCCUGUUGGAUGGCCUACCCGUCUAGCUCCACUACGGCCAUGGCUUGUUGCGUAAGCGAGCCACAUGUCAUGUCCCAACAGGUGUUUCCACUGCUGACAUCGGAGAGUGCGUUUUUGUUGUGCAUGCAUGUCAAUGAACAGUGGACACAGUGUAAACACAAUGUGCUGCACCAUUUAAAUGUUUAAAUGGAAGUGUGUGUCUCUGAGGUUAGUCAGGAGGUUGUGACUCAAAGUGUAUUCAAAUAUCAGAUACUGAGCGUUUUGGAUAUACUUCUUUGGAAACAGGAUGAAGUAUGGAAACAGAAGAUUCUGUCAAGACUAAAACCUGUU